AAGUCGAGCGAACGGACGAGAAGCUUGCUUCUCUGAUGUUAGCGGCGGACGGGUGAGUAACACGUGGAUAACCUACCUAUAAGACUGGGAUAACUUCGGGAAACCGGAGCUAAUACCGGAUAAUAUUUUGAACCGCAUGGUUCGAAAGUGAAAGACGGUCUUGCUGUCACUUAUAGAUGGAUCCGCGCUGCAUUAGCUAGUUGGUAAGGUAACGGCUUACCAAGGCAACGAUGCAUAGCCGACCUGAGAGGGUGAUCGGCCACACUGGAACUGAGACACGGUCCAGACUCCUACGGGAGGCAGCAGUAGGGAAUCUUCCGCAAUGGGCGAAAGCCUGACGGAGCAACGCCGCGUGAGUGAUGAAGGUCUUCGGAUCGUAAAACUCUGUUAUUAGGGAAGAACAUAUGUGUAAGUAACUGUGCACAUCUUGACGGUACCUAAUCAGAAAGCCACGGCUAACUACGUGCCAGCAGCCGCGGUAAUACGUAGGUGGCAAGCGUUAUCCGGAAUUAUUGGGCGUAAAGCGCGCGUAGGCGGUUUUUUAAGUCUGAUGUGAAAGCCCACGGCUCAACCGUGGAGGGUCAUUGGAAACUGGAAAACUUGAGUGCAGAAGAGGAAAGUGGAAUUCCAUGUGUAGCGGUGAAAUGCGCAGAGAUAUGGAGGAACACCAGUGGCGAAGGCGACUUUCUGGUCUGUAACUGACGCUGAUGUGCGAAAGCGUGGGGAUCAAACAGGAUUAG
rnacentral:rRNA from 1 species